rnacentral:lncRNA from 10 species
ACAGAAACCUUCCAGGUAAUGGAUCCUGGGCUGGCUUCGCCACCCAAGAGCCUGUGCUCCUCCUGUGAGCCCAACGUGUCCUUGUGCACAAAGGAGUGGGGCACUGCCCCGCAGAGGUGCCAGUUACCUGCACCGAGGCCCGUGCCGGGCCAGACUGGGGCUAGUGCAGCUCAUCGGGGUCCCGCGGCGGCCGGGGUCGGCCUGGGUCCAUGUCAUCGCUGCCACUGUCCAACUCGAAGCCACGCCCACCCGAGAAGGUCUGGGGCAUGAACUGGCGGAAGAUGCUGACACUGCCAUGCCAGAAGGUGGGUUCUGGGAGCCGCCCCACCACGCUCCACGCGCGAGUCUCUGGGUCAUAGGCCUCUACCACGUCCGAGAGUUCAAAUGUAUUGUCGUAUCCCCCAGAGACGUACAGCUUCCCCCCAAGGACGGCCAGGCUGCCCCCCACAUGUACCUGUGGGCCAAAGGGAUGAGUGAGUGGAGGUCAGAGGAGAGGGUAGGGCAGGGCCCCACCUGGGGAACCACUGGAGACAAGGCAUGCCCUGUCAGUACCCCAGAGGGGUGGCCUUGGCUCUCCCAGAAAGCAGCAGAGAGGCCAACCCCUUUCCAACACCCUGCCUAGGAGAACGGGCCUCCCCGGAGGCAGCUGGGCCUUCCCUAUGGUGAUGAGGGUGCCCGCUGCAGCGCCAGGCCUCCCCGUGUGCAGGUCGUGCCGAGCAGCGCUUCCUACGUUCUCUCUCAGAAUCUCUGCAGUGGCCCUCUGGGCUGAGCAGUGCUGUUCUCCCCAUGUUACAGAUGGGAAAACUGAGGCUUGCAUGGCUGACAGUGGCAGAGCUGGGCUCUGAACCGCGAGGCUGGAUGAUUCCUUCCAUCUUUCCCAAAUUCGCUAUGACUAUGUGCAGCUUACUGCGGGGAAAACAGAACGCUGGGUCUCUUAAAUGCCAGGACAUUAAGCUGUGAUGUAAGCUGUGAGGCUGGAUGUCACGGAGUGUAGGUUUGGAAAUGUUAACAGACACACAGGAAAGAAGGCUGUAGGCAAUAUGAUGUGUACCUCAGACUAACACUGCUCACAUGGCCAAAUGGCACUGAAGCCUCCCUGUCCCAUCACUGUCAGGCUGGGCACCCCUCUUCUCAACAAGCCCAGAGAGAAGGGGUGGACCCUGGUUGUCCUAUUCAGAACACACAGCAAGUGCUCAACACAAGUAUUCCCACAGUGGGCUGGGCAUGGUGGCUCAUGCCUGUAAUCCCAGCACUUUGGGAGGCUGAGCCAGGCAGAUCACAAGGUCAGGAGAUCCAGACCAUCCUGGCUAACACAGUGAAAUCCCGUCUCUACUAAAAAUACACAAACAAAAUUAGCUGGGCGUGGUGGUGGGUACCUGUAGUCCCAGCUACUCGGGAGGUUGAGGCGGGAGAAUGGCGUGAACCUGGGAGAUGGAGCUUGCAGUGAGCCGAGAUCGUGCCACUGCACUCCAGCCUGGGUGACAGAGCGAGACUCCGUAUAAAAAAAAAAAAAGUAUUCCCACACUGACUUCCUCAGGAACCAGCUGGGCGUGGUGGUUCACGCCUAUAAUCCUAGCACUUUGGGAGGCUGAGACAGGAGGGUCACUUGAGGCCAGGAGUGUGAGACCAGCCUGGGUAACACAGCAAGACCCUGUCUCUAUAAAAAUUUUAAGAAUAUCCUUUUGUAUCUACAUAUGAGAAAAAAAAUUACUGGGUGACGUUUUUUUCUUGGCGCAUUUAUAAGCGACCCGGGGCCGGAUUCCAGGAGUCGGCCCCACUCCUGUGUUCCUGAAGGAGCUUCUGACUCAAUCACACAGGCGUUAACUUUAGUCGGCUUCACGCGCAGUUGUAGUUUCCGAGUCUGCGUCGCAGCUGCAGGCUCCGGGGCUGCCCGCCCUAGGGGCUCCCGGGCCUCCCUGAAGCAGCUGCUCGGACUCCACGAGAG